rnacentral:lncRNA from 10 species
CCGCACCCCGUUGGCCUCCCAAAGUGCUGAGAUUAUAGGCGUGAGCCACCGUACCUGGCCAAGCUUUCCAUCUUUCACCAUUGAGUACAAUAUUUGCUGUGUGUUUCCAUAUAUGGCUUUUAUGAUGUUGAGACUCGCUCAGAACACAGUGACUUUGAAAACCUUGGAUGAAGAGGACUGAGCUACAAAAUAGAAAGAGCCUUGAAACACAUUCCAGAAACACUUAACAGGAGAAUCACCAAUCAGGAACACCUAGAUUGGACUUUAUGUGAGUGAAAAAAUAUAUAUAUAUAUAUAAUUUUUGAACCAUUACACAUUUCAUAUUGAAAGUGAAGAACUGCUGAACGUAAGACAUUUUACGACAUUGGUUUUAGUGGCUGGGCAUUAAACAACGAGGAAAUGGAUACUACAGGCUGGAAAGAUAGAGAUUCAUGAUAUCCAGAAGCAAAACGCAUGGUAAAGCUGCCUCCAAGGAGAACUUGAAAGAACCACAGAACCUGUAGCAUCAGUGGAAGUGACUGGAAAAAAUAAGACUGACUGCUUUUAGCAAGCUAUCACAAGAGACAAAUGUGCUUAGGAAAGAAUGGACUGGUUUGCAAACAGAAAUAAAGGGGAUAAAGAAAGGCUAGAAAUGUGGUUCCUCAAAGGACUGGAAAAGUUGACUGCUUUUAAACUUUAGGGAAUAGAAGAUAACCCUGGGGAAAAAAGACUUCGAGCAACAAAGGGCCAUAGGGUGACUGUAUGUCCCAGUUUGACCAGGAUAGUCAUGGUUUAUAACUGUUGCUUCUGCCUAAAUAUUAAUAGUAUUAAUACAACUUAUUCUGAGCCAAAUAAACAGAUUACAAGUAUGGCCUUCCUACUCAAAGUCUAAGUGCCUUUAAGUUAGCUGGCCAGGUAAGAGAAGAGAAAAAGGCAUAUCAUAAUAUAGUUAUCUACUGCUGUGUCACAAACCACCCUAAGCUUAAUAGUUUAAAACAACCUUUUAUCUACUCAUGAUUUUUAUGCAAUUGAGAAGAAGCUUGGUGAGGAUGUCUUGUCUCUGCCCCGCAAGGAAUCUCUUAGCUGUAUUUACCUGGAUCACUAUUCACCAUAAGGGUCAAGGAAGCAAAGAAAUAAAUGAGGCCUAGCCGGGCACGGUGGCUCACGCCUGUAAUCCCAGCACUUUGGGAAGCCAAGGCGGGCAGAACACAAGGUCAGGAGACCAAGACCAUUCUGGCUAACAUGGUGAAACCCC